rnacentral:rRNA from 1 species
CUAGCUGGUCUGAGAGGAUGACCAGCCACACUGGAACUGAGACACGGUCCAGACUCCUACGGGAGGCAGCAGUGGGGAAUAUUGCACAAUGGGCGCAAGCCUGAUGCAGCCAUGCCGCGUGUAUGAAGAAGGCCUUCGGGUUGUAAAGUACUUUCAGCGGGGAGGAAGGGAGUAAAGUUAAUACCUUUGCUCAUUGACGUUACCCGCAGAAGAAGCACCGGCUAACUCCGUGCCAGCAGCCGCGGUAAUACGGAGGGUGCAAGCGUUAAUCGGAAUUACUGGGCGUAAAGCGCACGCAGGCGGUUUGUUAAGUCAGAUGUGAAAUCCCCGGGCUCAACCUGGGAACUGCAUCUGAUACUGGCAAGCUUGAGUCUCGUAGAGGGGGGUAGAAUUCCAGGUGUAGCGGUGAAA